rnacentral:rRNA from 1 species
AGAGUUUGAUCCUGGCUCAGGAUGAACGCUAGCGGCAGGCUUAACACAUGCAAGUCGAGGGGUAUAGUAGCAAUACUAGAGACCGGCGCACGGGUGCGUAACGCGUAUGCAAUCUACCUUUUGCAGAGGGAUAGCCCAGAGAAAUUUGGAUUAAUACCUCAUAGUAUAGUACAAUCGCAUGAUUGAACUAUUAAAGUCACAACGGCAAAAGAUGAGCAUGCGUCCCAUUAGCUUGUUGGUAGGUAACGGCUUACCAAGGCAACGAUGGGUAGGGGUCCUGAGAGGGAGAUCCCCCACACUGGUACUGAGACACGGACCAGACUCCUACGGGAGGCAGCAGUGAGGAAUAUUGGACAAUGGGCGCAAGCCUGAUCCAGCCAUGCCGCGUGCAGGAUGACGGUCCUAUGGAUUGUAAACUGCUUUUGCACAGGAAGAAACACCCCUACGUGUAGGGACUUGACGGUACUGUGAGAAUAAGGAUCGGCUAACUCCGUGCCAGCAGCCGCGGUAAUACGGAGGAUCCAAGCGUUAUCCGGAAUCAUUGGGUUUAAAGGGUCCGUAGGCGGUCUUAUAAGUCAGUGGUGAAAUCUCCCCGUUCAACGGGGAAACGGCCAUUGAUACUGUAAGACUUGAAUUAUUAGGAAGUAACUAGAAUAUGUAGUGUAGCGGUGAAAUGCUUAGAGAUUACAUGGAAUACCAAUUGCGAAGGCAGGUUACUACUAAUAGAUUGACGCUGAUGGACGAAAGCGUGGGUAGCGAACAGGAUUAGAUACCCUGGUAGUCCACGCCGUAAACGAUGGAUACUAGCUGUUGGGAGCAAUCUCAGUGGCUAAGCGAAAGUGAUAAGUAUCCCACCUGGGGAGUACGUUCGCAAGAAUGAAACUCAAAGGAAUUGACGGGGGCCCGCACAAGCGGUGGAGCA